rnacentral:rRNA from 1 species
CUCAUGGUUUCACGGUAUUGCAAUGAGAACAAUUUAAAACCCUUAGCGAGAAUCAAGUGGAGGACAAGUCUGGUGCCAGCACCCGCGGUAAUUCCAGCUCCACUAGCGUAUAUUAAAGUUGUUGCAGUUAACAAGCUCGUAGUUGAACCUCUGUCUGGGUCUAGUUUUGGCUUUGGUCAGGCUAGUUCUAGGCAUCCGCCUACAAGACUUAGAGGGCAUUCAGUUGUUCACUAGGAGGAGUAGGCAUUUUACUUUGAAAAAAUUAGAGUGUUUAAGGCAGGCAAUCGCCCGCAUAUAUUAGCAUGGAAUAAUAGAAUAGGACACUUUUCCAUUUCGUUGGUUAUUGGAAUCGUGUAAUGAUUAAUAGGGACAGUUGUGGGCAUUUGUAUUUAAUUGUCAGAGGUGAAAUUCUUGGAUUUAUUAAAGACAAACUAACGCGAAAGCAUUUGCCAAGGAUGUUUUCAUUAAUCAAGAACGAAAGUUAGGGGAUCAAAGACGAUCAGAUACCGUCCUAGUCUUAACUAUAAACUAUUCCGACUCAAUGUUUGACUGGCUUAUAUAACCAGUUGAGCGUUGUAUGAGAAAUCAAAGUCUUUAGGUUCUGGGGGGAGUAUGGUUGCAAAGCUGAAACUUAAAGGAAUUGACGGAAGAGCACAACCAGGAGUGGAUUCUGCGGCUUAAUUUGACUCAACACGGGGAAACUUACCAGGUUAAAACAAUAGUGGGAUUGACAGUUUGAGAGCGCUUUCUUGAUUGGUUGGGUGGUGGUGCAUGGCCGUUCUUAGUUGGUGGAGUGAUUUGUCUGCUUAAUUGCGUUAACGAACGAGACCUUAACCUGCUUACUAGACUGGCGAUCAUCAAUCGUUAGCUCUUCUUAGAGGGACUUUGGUUGUUUUAACUCCAAGGAAGUUUGAGGCAAUAACAGGUCUGUGAUGCCCUUAGAUAUCCUGGGCCGCACGCGUCAUACAAUGACUAGUUCAGAAAGUUUUCUCCUGACCCGAAAGGGGAUGGGUAAUCUUGAUAAUACUAGUCGUGUUAGGGAUCGAUCUUUGCAAUUAUAGAUCUUGAACGAGGAAUUCCUAGUAAGUGCGGUUCAUCAGACCGUACUGAUUACGUCCCUGCUCUUUGUACACACCGCCCGUCGCUUCUACCGAGUGGGUGGUCCGGUGAGAUAAUUGAACUUCGCAGGUAACUGAGAGGAAAGAUUAUCAAACCUAUCCACCU